AAAAUAUGUUAAGGGCAUUUUUUAAGUAUUUUCUUAAACCUUUCCCAACUUUUAUAAAUGGAUUCUCCUUCAAACUAAGUAAAAGAAGUUAUAUCAUUUCUAUGUUU